GCCGAAGUGGUGAAAUUGGUAGACACGCCGUCUUGAGGGGGCGGUGGCGCAAGCCGUGCGGGUUCGAGUCCCGCCUUCGGCACCA
rnacentral:tRNA from 1 species